CCCUACUCUUGAGAUGCUCACAUCCUGGGGAGGGGAAGAGACAGUGCUAUGGACUGAAUGUUUGUGUCCCCCUUCCCUCGCAUUCAUAAGCUGAAGCCCUGAUUCCCAACGUGAUGCUCUUUGGAGAUGGGGCCUUUGGGAUAUAAUUAGGUCAUGAGGGUGGAAAUCUUCGUGACGGGAUUAACACCCUCAUAAGAAGAAAUAUGAAACAGCUUGCUUCUCUUCUUUCUCUUAGCCAUGUGAGGACACAGCAAGAUCACAGGAAGAGGGUUCUCAUCAGACACUGAACCUGCGGGCACCUUGAUGGCGGACUUCCCAGCCUCCAGAACAAGUCUGGCUGUGAAGACCACCAGAUAAAUGGGCAGUUAUUGGAAGAAGGUAUGCUGUCUAGAAAGGUUAUUUUAUCUUUAAAGUUGGUAGACAUUUGGGACAUUUUGUCCUGGUAAGGAUGCUCCAUAGUGGCUCUCCAUAGCUAUUUGUUGAAUUAGAGUAGACAUAUUAAAAUAAAAUGAGGAAGUCACACACACACACACACACACACACACACACACCCCAGAACUUCUCAGGAUAAAACAGCAGCGGGAGAAAAGCUGAUUAAAGCCCAUUUGGUUUCUCUGUCUCAAAUCAGCUCUCCGCAAUGGACCCAAACAUGACUUUGGGUCCUUAAAGCUCUGAUACUGAGUUAGGGAGACACACUGGGUGAAGAAAGUAAUGUACCUGAGAUAGUGGAGAGUAACAAUAACCCUGAAGAAGAAGAUGAUGAUAGUGACGAGGGUGACAAUAGUAGCUCGCAUUCGUUGAGCACUCACUGAGUGCCAACUUGUAGUUCACGUGGCUGAUUUCACCUGCUCCUCCAAGUAAGGCUUGUAAGGUGGGUGCUACUCUCAGUCUCUCUCCGGGUGAGGAUAUUGAGGCUUAGAUUUGGAAAGCGACUUGCUCAAGACUACAUAGCUAAUAAUAACUGGUGGAGUGAGAGUUCAAGCCCCACGGUGUGUAAUUCUAGAUCCUUUUACUCCUGUUUUGUGGGGGAUAUGGCACUAGAGAGAACUGGCCAAAGAGGGCUUCCCUAGAAGUACUCAUUUUGCACAAGACUGAUAAAAGGAGACCCUACGAGGUGAGCAAGCUGAGCCCUGAGAAGCAGCUUUGGCAAAUUAACUUCCAUCUUCCCAGGCCAGCAACCUCUGAUUUAUUUAUUUAUUUGUUUUAUAGUAGAGGAACACAUACCACUUGGCGUUACUCUUCUUGACAGUGGGAGAUUACAUGCUGGACUUGACUGAGUUUCUGUCAGGGAGAAUUUAUUGCAAUUUCGAAGAUGGUUCUUAAAAGAGAUGGCUGUUUUGCAUUUUUUAUACAGGUCCUGCAAAUAUGUCAGGUUUGAUCUUCUACAAAAUCACCUUGUAUAAACUUCCUGCUUCUCUUCCUCCUCUCCUGACUCGCACCUUCCAUAGCCUGUGUGUGCAGCGGCUGUUAGCAAGCUUCCCCCCAGGCAGCCCAGCUUUCAGCGGCCUUGACCCACAUUUUGUAGAGCUCCUGCUUUAUCUCUGCAAAGUCAAAUCCCUACUGUCCUUAAAGCAUAACCUGGAAUCCUCCCUCUCCACAAAUCCUUGUCAAGUGCCUGGCUGGGGAUCCCCAAAUAGCUCUGAAGCCACAGUGACCUAUUCAUCAGUCACCCUAGGGAAAUGAAAGCCAAGAUGCACCGAUCGUGACACUACAACAGUAAAAAUGACAAGAGGUCCUGUUGGUUGAGAAGUUACUGGUUAUUAUGAGCCGGCAAAUGGGCUAAGUGUUUUGCGUAUGUUGUCUGUGAUUUCAGAUUAAUACCUCAUUUACCUUCAUGCCCAAAUUAUGACAGUUUGAGUCCCACCGAUACGAUCCCUAGGAGGCAGCUUUCCUCAAAAUGUCGCUGGCUGUAUCUGAGAGGCACAGGGUGGCUUGCACUCUCAGGGGCGUGAACCCUGGGUUCUUGGGCUCCGGGUUUCCUAUUGUGCCGCCAUGCUGCCACCUUUGCUUCUAAUGGGGGAUGGGCUGGCCUGUCUUCUGGAAAUGGUGGUUGUUAGUUGUUAUUACUCUUUCCACCACUGUGACCUCAGAGGAGCUUGGCAUUGUUCUUCCUUCUGCUACUCCCUCAGAAGCACAGGACAAACAACUGGGAUUGGCUGUGGAACAGGAUUGCACUGACGUUUCAGAGACGGUGGAAGGGCUGUGCUUGGGGUGGUGGUGUUAGAACUCAGAACUCUUCUCAACUGGCUCAUUCUUUCCCUCGGGUGUCUCCUCAGGCCACCUCCCUUCCUUUCUGGUGGCCUGACCUCCACAUACCUGCCCCUUCAGCUAAAUUCCCACUACCACAAAUACUCCAGUACAUUUGCACUUCAGGCUACAGGCCGAACCAAUCUUCACCUAGUCUGAGAUUCAUGCCUGGUCCUGUUUCUUCCUCCAGCAUCAGCAUUUUCUCAGUAUUACCGACAGCGAGGACCUCGGUGCAUAGUCUGGUCCAAUGGCCCCAAAGAGAUAAUCCUAUGAGAGUCUAACAUCAGCAUGUUGCUGAAAGACAUAGAAAAUAAUGUCAGAGCUGGUGAUGGAACUCUCCCUUUCCUCUGCCUUCAUGCUUCCAUGUGGAGGGAGCUCCAUUAGAGUAUCACUCCUAUUCUCUCACCCCAUUCCCUCUCCAAGGAUGGAGCAGUGACUUAUCUGAUUGGUGUGCUUGGGGGAGGAGCUCAGCCUGCCUCUCUCUGUCUUUGUAUGUCACUGCAUACUUGCAGAAAUGAAUAUUCAGGAACAAGUCUUCAUGGGAGAACCCUGAAGUUGGUCAGUCCAGCCAUGGUCUGUGAGGUGAUGUUUGUCUAACUCAAGGGUACUAACAAUAAAGAUAAUGUUUUAGUUUCUACUUA